GUAGCGUUAUUAAUUUGUAGGGGACUGAAAAUCCCCGUGUCGGUGGUUCGAUUCCGCCUCUGGGCACCA
rnacentral:tRNA from 1 species